CUACGGGCUGCACCAGUGGGGAAUAUUGCACAAUGGGCGAAAGCCUGAUGCAGCAACGCCGCGUGAGUGAUGAAGGCCUUCGGGUCGUAAAACUCUGUCCUCAAGGAAGAUAAUGACGGUACUUGAGGAGGAAGCCCCGGCUAACUACGUGCCAGCAGCCGCGGUAAUACGUAGGGGGCUAGCGUUAUCCGGAUUUACUGGGCGUAAAGGGUGCGUAGGUGGUUUCUUAAGUCAGGAGUGAAAGGCUACGGCUCAACCGUAGUAAGCUCUUGAAACUGGGAAACUCGAGUGCAGGAGAGGAAAGUGGAAUUCCUAGUGUAGCGGUGAAAUGCGUAGAUAUUAGGAGGAACACCAGUAGCGAAGGCGGCUUUCUGGACUGUAACUGACACUGAGGCACGAAAGCGUGGGGAGCAAACAGGAUUAGAUACCCGUGUAGUC
rnacentral:rRNA from 1 species